AUAAAAUUACCCGAAAGUGUUGUCAUUGUUAAAUAAAUUACGGAUGUGCGUCUUUACGUCAAGGUCGUGAUUCUACAUAACAACAUCCGCUUGACCUCGCAAUGCCAAGAAGAAGAAAGGCGUGGAACAUUUGCUUAAGCCUGUCAAGAUCUUCAGCAGAUGUUUGAGAAAAAAAAUCAUCAUCCUCUUCGUCACUCUUCAUCCGUAUUUGGGGUAACAAACACCUGCUUCCCACAAGAGACUGGACCUAUGAAGUCAGAUGUAGCCAAGUAUAAAUUUACUGGUACAAUGUUGGAUGGAUCAUCAGACCUGCACCUUCCUUGAACAUGUUGGUAACUUACUCUGUAUUUGUUCACGGUGGUCACCCCAGGGUUUCAGGACUCAAAACGAGUGCUCUAUGGAUUGAACAGAAAAUGUAGUAUAAACAAGUGUUAAGUUAUGUGUAUAAAUGCCACUAAUAAUGUGUUUCUGUUUUCUUUCUCAUUAUGCUAACAAACGCUCUUUUACCCCUCAUGUUAGGUGGAUCAACACUCCAACCAUCUGCAUUAGGGACUGAAUAAAGGAUGCCCUCUGUUGCUGGGAAUGUUAGAUCAGGCGGAUCAACAUUCCAUCCAUCUGCAUUAGGAUCUACCUUAGAGACACUCACUGGAGCUGUAAAUGGAAGCAGGUCACUUACUUUGCAUUCGUCCUUGGUGGUCACCCCAGGGUCUCUAGAGUGAAAAUUACUCAAUCUAUGGAUUAAACAGAAAAUUUAGUUUUAUGAAGUGCAAUUUGGGACAUUCUUCCAGUUGUCGGCAACUUUGUGAAAAAGGCUGGAAACUAAAAUGCAGUGUAACUGAUUCUGCUUACCUGACUCGUGCAGUAUUCUGGCCUGGUGUUUGGUCCGUGCUGUCUUUGACUCUUGCAUCUCCAUCAUCCUGACCCUCUUUAGCAGCCUGUCCAUGUAUUUAUUCGGAGGCCACCAUGAGCACCCAUCUGCAUAAUAUGACUUUGUUACUCAGUUGUCCAUGCUCCUACAAAUUCUACAUUUUUUGUAAAGCUGCAACAAGUUGAAACCCUAUAAUUAUUAACGUUUGAUUUUGAAUUAUGUAAAAAAACAUGAAUAAGUAACAAAAGCAGAAAUAUAUUAAGACAUUACCUUUUUGUUGUUUGUUUACUGAUCUAUCAAUCCUUUUGCAUUCUCAUAAUUGAUCAUCAUAACUUGGUAUACAGUGGAUGUGUGGCUGUAGAUAACUUUCUGAAGUCAAUUCAAAAAGGCAAAAGUUAAUAAAUGCUAAAUUGGUCAAAUAUACAUUGUUGUAUUUUCACCAUUUUGAUCUUAUUUAGGCAUUUCAUAACUUGAGAGGGAAAUUUACGUAUACUGAUGUUUCAAAUCAAAGAUUAAUUUAUUAAUGACUGCUAAUCAUUGUAUAAAGAUUUUUAUAACAAUAUUUAUUUAUAUAAUAUCAAUUUAAUACAUUUAUUUCGGUACACCUACAUCACUGAGCGCAAGGGAGUGCAGCCAACAAAUACAUUCAGGUGUGUUUGACUUAACACCGAGAUGCGCAGACAGCACGUGGUAUGACAUCAAAGUACCGCGAGAGUUUUGGGAAAGCCCCGGAAAAGGUUUGAACUCGCGGUACUUGAUGUCACGAUCGGUUUGCGCGUAGAUCAGCAUGAAGUCGAACACAUCUGAAAGAUGUGUGGGCUGCCUGCACUCAAUGUUGCGAUCAUUCAGUAGAGUGUAACCUCAAUCGGUUUUUGCAGCUUCUGGGUGUCGUGUCGAACGAUCACAGAACGAUUUUUUGUUCUUUUCCAACUCGAUUUUUAACUCCCUAAACUAGUAGGAUGUUCCAACGGGUGAAGCAACAGUGCUUCAUUGACGGAGUUUCAGUGUCAAGGUAAGUUAACCAUUUAAACAGAAAAUAUGUUAUGCAUGCAUGUAAGUUAGUCGACCUACAGAAUUAUCGUCUUAAUUAUCGCGUUCUAUACGCGAUUAAAAGCUUAUUAACGUUUAUCAAUACAAUGCUAUUCAGGCCGCUGCGAAGUCCCGAAGCCACGUUGUAACGUUAACUUUAUAUGUUACGCAUUGGUGGGGAUAAACCAGUCAGUUUAAUAGAGUUAUUAAAUGUCUCAAUCCUUUCCCGCCCUGUAACGUUACGUUAAAAUGGCCCUUAUACGGAUAACGUUACUGUCAGUCAGACCUUAAACCACUCAAAACCGUUAACGUUGUUCUAUUGGAGUGGUUCGAUAAUUGUAUUUAUUAAUUGUCUCAGUUAUAUUAGUUAUAUCUGUUCUUUAAUUCGUAUUUCUAACAAUUAAAACCCAGGAAUGACAAGCUAACGUUAUACUUACCAAGAUUUUGACGAUCAAACCGACAGAAAAACUAACUAAAAGCUGAUUAUUAAACAAAAAACAUACUAUUACAAAGUGAAGAGGAACGUAAUGUGUACAAAUUUGAUUAUUUACAGGUUAUUAAUGAUGUUAUUUGCGACAAAAAAAGUUGAGGGUAAUCGAGCAAAUAACGGUCUUCUGGUAAAUAUUGUGGUCACGUGAUGGCCUCGCGACAUAUAAGUCGUUUCCGGUCGUUUCUCAACCGCACAGCUGCGUCCUUUAAAAAUUAUUUUUAAUAUAUUUUUUUAAAUAAUAAGAAAUACAAGUUCAGUCAGGGGGUACAUUAUACAUAUAUAAAAUAAAAAUAAAUAAUGCUCCGUCCUUUUUUUUUUUUUUUUUUUUUUUUUUUUAAAUGCUCCGUCCUAGAAGGCUGCAUGUCUCGGCUGCCACGUUUUAUGCAUUUCAUGCUGAAUUUGUUUCAUUUAUAAAAGCCCUUAAAGCGAUUAAGAAGAAAAAUGCAACUAGUCUUUUGUCCAUCAUAUGUGAAUAUGAUUUAAAGGAAAACCCUAGCCCCUUAUUAUUAUUAUUAUUUUUUAUUAUUAUUAUUUUGCAUUUAAUUAUUAUUUAAUAUAUAUAUAUAUAUAAUUUUUGUGUAUGUGUAUUGUUGUUUCAAACAUCUGCACCUGGUUUGUACGUUUAAUGUUAACAACUAUUAUUAUUGCCUUAUUGUUUGUACAUGAAUAUUUGUUUAAUAAAAAAAAGUCUCGGCUGCCACGUCCUCAAGCAUCGUCGAGGAACAUCUCAAUCUGCUUGUUUUCUCUUUUUUUUUUUUUUUAUUUAAUUACAAAAUGUUCAACUGUCCAUGUUGUAAAGACACUUGAUACAUGACUUUUAUUCACUGUACAGUAUUGGAUUUUAUUUGGUGAUGCAUUGCUAAUUUUCAACUUCUCUCUUUAAAGUUUUCAUGCCAUGACCACUGGGGCGGAAACCAUGACGUUGCCUUGGACUUCAAACUAAACCAUCUCAUUCUGGCUUUUUUCUAACCUCGAAAUCUAAGAAGGACAGGUCUAAGAUGGACGCAGCCUCCAUAGGAUGCAACCUUGCAUUUGAGAAACACCCAUAGAACGGUCAACUUACCCCAUACUCUAACCUGAAUGCAGGGAUCAUAAAACUUUAUCUUUUACCUUAAUUGUUAGAUGGGUGUUGAUACCAAACUUUUUUUUCUCGUCUACCCAGGAGAAAGUCAUGGGUUCUGCUGUGUCUUUUAUUCUGCUUACCUGACUCAUGCAGAAUUCUGGCUUGAUGUUUGGUCCACCUGUUAGCUGGCUCUGGUGCUUGGUAGUCUUCUCAAACCUCUGAAUCAAGGCCACCAUGAGAGGCCUUCUGAAGACCAUCAUUACGCUGCAGAUCCAGUGGUCUUUACUAUGAGAUAUAACUGAACUGGAGUCUGUGAACUAAUGCUGUGUUCGAGACAACUUGGAUGUUGGAUAUUAUUGACCUUAAACCCGUAAGAAGUCAGGAACAGGAAACAAAGUGGAGUAUCCGACCUCUCAACUUGGGACAGAUCCAUCAACACCGACCUCAAAGAGAUGCGUCAUUUGACAUUGCAGACAAGAUCCUUUCUCUUUUUAAUGCAGAACUUAAGGAUGAACCACCCUGAUCUACUAAGAUGCACAGAUUCAACUCUGGCCCAGCAUCAUCCCCACACCUCAUCUGCCAUCAGUUUAAUUUAAUGUCUGUCAAUUGCAAAUGCUAUUUCAGUUAUAUUACAACUUAAUGUUAACUUUAAUUGAGACUAGUAUUGUGUAAAGCUGGGGUUUCCAAACUUUUCAUUUUAAAACCUAUUAGACAAGUAUAAUCUAUUCUAGACCCACUAAAAUAUUUUUAAAUAUACAUUUUUUAAUGGGGUAAAACACAUUUGUUCUCUUUCAGUGGAGUCAUUUUAUUUUCAUAAUAUUUCAUAAUGUAAAGCAGUGGUUCUUAACGUUAUUCCUCGAGGCCCAUUGCUCUGCACAUUUUGUAUGUCUCUUUUAUCUGACAGACUCAGUUCAGUUCAUUGAGAUCUCUUCUAAUGAGCUGAUGAUUUGAAUCAGGUGUGUUAAAUAAGAGAGACAUACAAAAUGUGCAGGGCAGUGGGCCUCGAGGAAUAACGUUGAGAACCACUGAAAAGUAAAUAUAAGUUUAUUUGCAAUACCAAAUAUUUUAUGGUAUAUUCUUUCAAAACCAUUGUCAUUGUUAAUUAUUAAUUGGCCAAACUGUUGUUGCAUCAUUAAGGUGUGCAACACACCUUAACCUACUGUGUGACCGACAAGUGGGUCCUCCUGACCCACAGUUAAAAAAAAAACUUGGUGUACUGAAUGUUGUAUUUUAAUUAAAGUCGCAUCAAAGUCUUGUGUAACAGUCUCCAAUAUUUGUGAUUAUAUGCACAGUGUCACAUGGUACUUUCAGCACUAACUACAUCACAUUUAUUAUGCAUUUUUUUAAUGCAUUAAUUUUUAGGUUUAUUAUAAAUUCAUUCAUUUUUAAUGAAUUCCUUCUUUAUGUAGAACAUGCAAAGUCUAAAAUUUAAAGUGUCAUGACCAGCUCUGGGUCUUGUGUAGUGAUUAAAUGAACAGGUGGUAAAUGUCAUAGCUUUGCAGUAUAUUGGGUAGGAGGCUCUGGAUGUAAAGAACAUUCAGCACAUAGGUUUCAUAAAUUUAAUUUGGUAAACAAACUUGUCAGAACAAUUCAUGCUGUGAUGCUGGAUAAUACCUGGUCAAAUUAAUACAUGUAUAAUGUGUUUCAACAUUGUAUAAGGUUUCUUCAUCUAUACAGACAUCUGUUAGAGAACGGUGCAGAGACUGCUUAUCUAUUAUUGGUUACAGUAUAUUUGUUAAAAUGUUACCAGUGAGAUUAUUUUCGUGCACAAGGUACUUUCUUUGAGAACCUUUAUGUGUUUUAUUCUGCACUUAAAGCAUAAACGCAAUUUAAAUGCAGGAGUCCUCUUUACUGCAAAAUAUGCAAGUGAAACUGGACUAAACGCAUACAGUAUACAUACGGGUAUGAUUUCAUAUAUUAGGUUUCUAUAUUACACGUGAUACGAGGUAGGGUAUAUAAAAAUAAUAUUUUAUGAAUGCAAAAUAAAUGCCAAACUCUUAAAAAACUGGCAAAUUAUGCAGCUGUUUUUUUUUAAUCUUUAGUUUGUGUUCAAUACAAUUAAACAAGAAAAUAAGUGUAAACAAUGAAAUGAGUUGAGCAUUGAGGUCAGCUGAUUCGUCUGCGUUUGCUCGGAUUCAAGAU